ACGAACGCUGGCGGCGUGCUUAACACCUGCAAGUCGAACGGAAAGGCCCUGCUUUUGUGGGGUGCUCGAGUGGCGAACGAGUGAGUAACACGUGAGUAACCUGCCCUUGACUUUGGGAUAACUUCAGGAAACUGGGGCUAAUACCGGAUAGGAGCUCCUGCUGCAUGGUGGGGGUUGGAAAGUUUCGGCGGUUGGGGAUGGACUCGCGGCUUAUCAGCUUGUUGGUGGGGUAGUGGCUUACCAAGGCUUUGACGGGUAGCCGGCCUGAGAGGGUGACCGGCCACAUUGGGACUGAGAUACGGCCCAGACUCCUACGGGAGGCAGCAGUGGGGAAUAUUGCACAAUGGGCGGAAGCCUGAUGCAGCAACGCCGCGUGCGGGAUGACGGCCUUCGGGUUGUAAACCGCUUUCGCCUGUGACGAAGCGUGAGUGACGGUAAUGGGUAAAGAAGCACCGGCUAACUACGUG
rnacentral:rRNA from 1 species